AAUGAACGUUGGCGGCGUGGAUUAGGCAUGCAAGUCGCGCGAGAAUCGUAGCAAUACGAGGACAGCGGCGAAAGGGACAGUAAUGGGUAGAUUAUCUGCCCUCAGGACUGGGAUAGCCACGGGAAACUGUGGGUAAUACCGGAUAACGUCUCCGGACCAAAGGUGUGAGUCCGCCUGGGGAUGAGUCUGCCUCCUAUUAGCUUGUUGGUGGGGUAAUGGCCUACCAAGGCUGUGAUGGGUAGCGGGUGUGAGAGCACGACCCGCGUCAUUGGGACUGAGACACUGCCCAGACACUUACGGGUGGCUGCAGUCGAGAAUCUUCGGCAAUGGACGCAAGUCUGACCGAGCGACGCCGCGUGGGGGAUGAAGGCCUUCGGGUUGUAAACCGCUGUCAGUGGGGAGGAAGGCUCCGUGAAGAGCGGGGUUUGACCUAUCCGCAGAGGAAGUGUGGGCUAAGUUCGUGCCAGCCGCCGCCGUAAUAC
rnacentral:rRNA from 1 species